GAGUUUGAUCCUGGCUCAGGAUGAACGCUGGCGGCGUGCCUAAUACAUGCAAGUCGAGCGAACCACUUCGGUGGUGAGCGGCGAACGGGUGAGUAACACGUAGGUGAUCUGCCCAUCAGACGGGGACAACGAUUGGAAACGAUCGCUAAUACCGGAUAGGACGAAAGUUUAAAGGUGCUUCUGGCACCGCUGAUGGAUGAGCCUGCGGCGCAUUAGCUAGUUGGUAGGGUAAAGGCCUACCAAGGCGACGAUGCGUAGCCGACCUGAGAGGGUGAACGGCCACACUGGGACUGAGACACGGCCCAGACUCCUACGGGAGGCAGCAGUAGGGAAUCUUCGGCAAUGGGCGAAAGCCUGACCGAGCAACGCCGCGUGAAUGAUGAAGGCCUUCGGGUUGUAAAAUUCUGUUAUAAGGGAAGAACGACUUUAGUAGGAAAUGGCUAGAGUGUGACGGUACCUUAUGAGAAAGCCACGGCUAACUACGUGCCAGCAGCCGCGGUAAUACGUAGGUGGCGAGCGUUAUCCGGAAUUAUUGGGCGUAAAGAGCGCGCAGGUGGUUGAUUAAGUCUGAUGUGAAAGCCCACGGCUUAACCGUGGAGGGUCAUUGGAAACUGGUCGACUUGAGUGCAGAAGAGGGAAGUGGAAUUCCAUGUGUAGCGGUGAAAUGCGUAGA
rnacentral:rRNA from 1 species